AAAUGACUGAACUUAAUAAUUUGUGGUGAUUAGGAAAGUAGAGGAACAUAGAAUAAAUGUGUAAAAACUAUGGAGCUAUUGAAUGUGUUCAAAGUAUUAAAUUUUCAAAGAACUUAUUGUGUUAAAAAGGGGAUAUUUUACCACAAGGAGCCACAUCACAAACGGAUGUUCGGGGUUUGCUAAUUUACGGAAAAAGUAAUCUCACUUCGUACCCCGAAAAUUUAACCACAUAUGUGAAAAUGUCACAGCUUCGAAACGAGCUAUCAUACAUAUCCAAGUUUACGAUAUGGACUGAGCUACAGGAAAAAACGUUACCAUUAUCGCCUAUGGAAAAACAAUUAAAGAUAUUGAGCCAAUUUACAAAAAGAUAAAUCAGAAGUUUCCAGAGUGAUCUAUGGAUGAUUUCACCUUAUACACCCGGGAAAAUUGUGAAAAUGAUGUUCCAGACAUAUCAUUACUUUUUAACCUGAGAUGACAAACUAGAGGUUUUAAAAGGUCCUGAAUAACUGAAAUGGACAAAAAUUCACAUAUUUAUUCAGAAUGUCAUACCGAUGAAGAUCACAUAAAAAUAUUUGGAAAAAUCAGAACUAUGGAUUGCAAUAUGGGACAACAUCCCUAAUGCGCCUUGAAAUGAGGAACUCAAAAGUCACGUGUAAAGAAAAAAUCUCUGUGUAGUGAUAUUGGACAUGUUUCUAUUUUUAACAAAUGACUGAACUUAAUUAUUUGUGGUGAUUAGGAAAGUAGAGGAACAUAGAAUAAAUGUGUAAAAACUAUGGAGCUAUUGAAUGUGUUCAAAGUAUUAAAUUUUCAAAGAA